UAGAAUAUUUUGCUGCUAAAGAAAAUAAAUAUUUCAUGCUAUUAUGUGUCGGCGCACAAGAAUUUUUUUGACCGGCAUGCAUCGGCACAGCUCGGCACGCACCGUGUCGUACCGUGCCGGCAAGUUUCCGGCACGCUCCCGUACCAUGACACUUAAAUCCUUGACUCUAUAGUACAGCGAACGAGCGAAUGAGGGGUAGUCUUGCGACGGAUGGUACUCCGUAAAGGGCAAGGCUUGCGAAGGCAAGUGUGCCGAGCGGGGAUUCAUGGGGCGUAGUGUUAAUGAAACUCAAG
rnacentral:lncRNA from 1 species